GGGGGCGUGGCGAAGCUGGUUAUCGCAUCGGCCUGUCAAGCCGAGGACCGCGGGUUCGAGUCCCGUCGCUCCCG
rnacentral:tRNA from 1 species